AGGCACAGCUGCGUUAAUACGUUCCGGUGAAAGAAAGACGCAUUGGCACGACACGUGACAAGCGAUGCUUCGUUCGUCCAGACACCGAUCAAUAAGACGAUCAGGUUUAUAUAGCGUUCUCCAAACCGAACCUAAUGUCACAUACUUACGUGCACACGCGUAAUUUACUACACACGUGGCGGUAAAGUGUCGUCAGACGCGUUUGCAGCUCUGUUAUAUAACUCGACAAAACGUUCAAAGUCCGAGACGCUCUGGCUGCAGAUGUUCUUGCAACAUCGUUGUCCUUACGCGGAUUUAAAGAUGGUAAACGCAUGGAAAUCGAGAAACCUGGCCGACAUGGUAGCGCGUUGCUUUUCGAACCUUGGGACGAAAGAGGAAGCAAAACACGCGGAUGACAGUCAUAAAAGGUCGCUCAUGAAUAUGCACGACGAAAACUCAAGAAGCGAAAUGAGUAAUAGGGAAGGUAUAAUGAGAUGCUGAUUAUGAUGUAAGCGGUUUAUCCAGGCAUAAUGAUUCGGGGAGCAGAUUGUGACCAAUGAAUGCCUUCACUUUCUACCUUUACACCCAUUGUACGCGGUAUUGUCGACCAAUGCAACACGAUUGUUCACGACUCUACCGAUGUCUGACCUUUUACACAUGAUAUUUAUAAGAUUUGCUGCACGAGACGACCGUGACUUUAGGUGAGGUCGUUAUGCAAAUUACGCGUCCUUACAUUUAUUAUACCUGCUAA
rnacentral:misc_RNA from 1 species